CGGUAUGCCACAUCGUAUUUGAAAGCCCGAGGCUUAACCUCGGCGUUGGAUACGAGAUGGGUACACUUAGAGGAAUGGAGAGGAAAGGGGAACUGAUGGUGAAGCAGUGAAAUGCGUUGAUAUCAUCAGGAACACCGAAGGCGAAGGCACCUUUCUGGCCAUUUUCUGACGCUGAGACACGAAAGCUAGGGGAGCGAAGCAGAUUAGAGACCUGCGUAGUCCUAGCCCUAAACGCAUGUCUGCUAGAUGCCCGAUCGCAAGAUGGGGUGUCGUAAGCUAACGCGUUAAGCAGACCGCCUGGGGACUACGAGCGCAAGCUUAAAACUCAAAGGAAUUGACGGGGACCCGCACAACCAGUGGAGCGUGUGGUUCAAUUCGAGACAAAGCGAAGGACCUCACCAGGGUUUGACAUGCUACCGUUUUAACCACCCAGAAAUGGGAGGCUAUCCGCAAGGAUGGUAGCACAGCUGCUGCAUGGCUGUCGUCAGCUCGUGCCGUGGGGUGUUCCCUUAAGUGGGACAACGAGCGCAACCCCUAUUCAAUGUUAUAUGUGUCAUUGAAGACCGCCCCCUCUCUUUGUACAGAAAUUUUUCUGUAUAGUGA
rnacentral:rRNA from 1 species